rnacentral:misc_RNA from 1 species
AAAAAAGGCGGUAGAGAUUCACCACGGCUGGUAUACCCCUGCUCCUGCAGGAGCAACUGCCAGUUAGGACAGCUGGUUUAAAUUAGAGGAGCAUGGGAAAGGGAUUUUUGAGUUUUAUGUAUGAAAGAUUAUUACUUUGUUUUGUUAUAUAUGUAUAAUUCCUUUCGGGGCGUUUGACAGGCAUCUUUCUUUGUUUUGUCCUCCUUAGGUAUUGCUAUAUAUGCUGAUCAUCUAACCGGCUUUACCUUUUUUUUUUGAACAUUUAAACUUGAUAGUCUCCAUUCCAAAUAAC